rnacentral:rRNA from 1 species
GGCAUGCGCAGCUACACAUGCAGUCGUACGGUAGCACAGAGAAGCUUGCUCCUCGGGUGACGAGUGGCGGACGGGUGAGUAAUGUCUGGGAAACUGCCUGAUGGAGGGGGAUAACUACUGGAAACGGUAGCUAAUACCGCAUAAUGUCGCAAGACCAAAGAGGGGGACCUUCGGGCCUCUUGCCAUCAGAUGUGCCCAGAUGGGAUUAGCUAGUAGGUGGGGUAAAGGCUCCCCUUUAACGAACGCAAUCCCAUGAAUGGUUUGAUAAAGGAUAGCCCAAGCCACUCGAGGAAUUUCUGCCCCCGUUCCUGAAUCCUUCCGGUAGGCGGCAGUUGGGUAAAAUUGCCCCAAAGGUUCCAAACCUCCACUCAGCCAUUACAGUUGGUAGGAAGAAGGCCUUCGGGUUGCAAAGUACUUUCAGCGGGGAGGAAGGGUUUUGUAGUUACUACCCGCAGCAAUUGACGUUACCCGCAGAAGAAGCACCGGCUAAUUCCGUGCCAGCAGCCGCGGUAAUACGGAGGGUGCAAGCGUUAAUCGGAAUUACUGGGCGUAAAGCGCACGCAGGCGGUCUGUCAAGUCGGAUGUGAAAUCCCCGGGCUCAACCUGGGAACUGCAUUCGAAACUGGCAGGCUGGAGUCUUGUAGAGGGGGGUAGAAUUCCAGGUGUAGCGGUGAAAUGCGUAGAGAUCUGGAGGAAUACCGGUGGCGAAGGCGGCCCCCUGGACAAAGACUGACGCUCAGGUGCGAAAGCGUGGGGAGCAAACAGGAUUAGAUACCCUGGUAGUCCACGCCGUAAACGAUGUCGAUUUGGAGGUUGUGCCCUUGAGGCGUGGCUUCCGGAGCUAACGCGUUAAAUCGACCGCCUGGGGAGUACGGCCGCAAGGUUAAAACUCAAAUGAAUUGACGGGGGCCCGCACAAGCGGUGGAGCAUGUGGUUUAAUUCGAUGCAACGCGAAGAACCUUACCUGGUCUUGACAUCCACAGAACUUACCAGAGAUGGAUUGGUGCCUUCGGGAACUGUGAGACAGGUGCUGCAUGGCUGUCGUCAGCUCGUGUUGUGAAAUGUUGGGUUAAGUCCCGCAACGAGCGCAACCCUUAUCCUUUGUUGCCAGCGGUUAGGCCGGGAACUCAAAGGAGACUGCCAGUGAUAAACUGGAGGAAGGUGGGGAUGACGUCAAGUCAUCAUGGCCCUUACGACCAGGGCUACACACGUGCUACAAUGGCGCAUACAAAGAGAAGCGACCUCGCGAGAGCAAGCGGACCUCAUAAAGUGCGUCGUAGUCCGGAUUGGAGUCUGCAACUCGACUCCAUGAAGUCGGAAUCGCUAGUAAUCGUAGAUCAGAAUGCUACGGUGAAUACGUUCCCGGGCCUUGUACACACCGCCCGUCACACCAUGGGAGUGGGUUGCAAAAGAAGUAGUGUAGCUUAACCUUCGGGAGGGCGCUACCACUUUGAUCAGUGU